rnacentral:misc_RNA from 1 species
UUUCUUCCGUCGCCGCCAUUGACAAGAUGUAUUCGGCGAGCGCUAAAAUUAUGAAGCCGCAAGGCGAAAAGCCAGAUGAGUUUGAAUCAUCAAUUUCUCAGGCUCUUCUGGAGCUAGAAAUGAACAGUGACCUCAAGGCACAGCUGAGAGAACUGUACAUCACUGGAGCCAAGGAAAUUGAUGUUCAGGGAAAGAAGGCUAUCAUGAUCUUUGUACCUGUCCCCCAGCUCAGAGCCUACCAGAAAGACAAGAAAGAGCAAGCAGAAGAGACCUAGAUCACGUACACUGACUGCAGUCCAUGAUGCCAUGCUUGAGGAUCUAGCUUUCCCUGCUGAAAUUGUUGGCAAAAGAAUCAGAAUCAAGCUGGAUGGAUCACGACUCAUUAAAGUACACCUGGACAAGAACCAACAGACAAAUAUUGAACACAAAGUGGAUACAUUCUCUGCUGUGUACAAAAAACUUACAGGAAAAGACGUUGUUUUUGAGUUUCCUGAAUUUGUGUUGUAAAUUCAUCAAUAAAAUGUGAAUUUCAAUGC